CAAGACUAGAGGCGGUGAGCCAGUGACCCCAUCUUCAACAACGACGACUAGCGACUGGCGAAGCAGCAAACUCAUCUCUCCAGCAAGGCAGUGCCCCAUCUCCCAUUCUCUAAACCUGAUAUACUUUAACAGAGUCAGAGGUGGCGUCCUCAUCCCUAAUAGUGGCUAGCGGCACUUUGGCAAGCGGCAACCAGUGAUAGAGAACACCAUCAGGGGGUCAAGUUUGUUGGGCAAUCCUAUAGGAUCUUCAAGUUAUUAGAAGAGGAGGGAUCAAAUAGUAGUGAUGAUGAUGAAGAAGGUGUUGAACUUGAUGAUAUGUUUUAGUUUUGAUGGCUCAAGAAGGCAGGAUAUUCAAGCU